CCUCAUUGCCAUACCAGCUUGUCAAAGCCUGAUCUCAUCAGAGCUCAGAAGCAAAGCAAGCCCAGGCCUGGUUAAUACUAGGAUGUCAGACCUCUGAGAAUAUCAGGUGCCACAGUGGGGU
rnacentral:rRNA from 1 species